rnacentral:rRNA from 1 species
GGUUCAAUUCGAUUGACACGCGAAACUUACCACCUUUGACAUCGUAGGAACCCUUUAGAGAUAGAGGGGUGCUCGAAAGAGAGCCGUAACACAGGUGCUGCAUUGGCUGUCGUCAGCUCGUGUCGUGAGAUGUUGGUUAAGUCCCGCAACGAGCGCAACCCUUGUCAUUAGUUGCUACAUUCAGUUUGGGCACUCUAAUGAGACUGCCGGUGACAAGCCGGAGGAAGGUGGGGAUGACGUCAAGUCCUCAUGGCCCUUAUAGGUGGGGCUACACACGUCAUACAAUGGCUGGUACAAAGGGUUGCCAACCCGCGAGGGGGAGCCAAUCCCAUAAAGCCAGUCGUAGUCCGGAUCGUAGUCUGCAACUCGACUACGUGAAGUCGGAAUCGCUAGUAAUCGUGAAUCAGAAUGUCACGGUGAAUACGUUCCCGGGCCUU